AAUUUUGUCUGUUUUUCAUGCAUUGCCACAAGGUUAAUCCAAGGAUCAUCUGAAAAUGGAAGGAAGCCAUAUAUUGUAUACAUGGGAGAGGUACCACAUCAUGCAGACAGGAUUUCAACCAUGGAGGAACAUAAUGAUAUGCUCCUGAAGGCAAUUGGAGAUGAGAAGACAGCCAGAGAAUCCAAAAUAUAUACUAUGGGAAGAGCAUUAAUGGAUUUGCUGCCAGACUUUUGCCAGAUGAAGCGAGAAGACUAUCUGAUGAAGAUGGAGUUGUAUCGGUAUUUGAGAACAUUAAACGAAGACUUCUGACAACAAGAUCAUGGGAUUUUCUGGGAAUGCCUCUUAGUACAAAGAGAAGGAACGUGAUUGUUGAGAGUGAUAUCAUAGUUGGUGUAAUGGACACUGGGAUUUGGUCUGGAUGCCCCAGUUUUGAUGAUUCUGGCUAUGGACCUCCACCAGCUAAAUGGAAGGGUAAAUGUGACAAAGGAGCCAAUUUCACUGGUUGCAACAACAAGGUGAUUGGUGCAAGAUACUAUCAGCUAGACAGCACUGAUCCUAUUCCGGAAGAUCCUACGCCAGUUGACACUGACGCCAUGGCACCCACACUGCC